GACUCGCCGAUCGUGGCCUGAGGCCUGAGCCGUGGCGUCCCACCGUCUCUCUCCGCCCCGCCUCCAAGCUCCGGUCUUCUCCGUCGGUUACUCUGACUCCCUGCUCCGUUGGCCGGCGCUCGCUACUUCCUUAACCAUAAUCCCUAGUGCCGCCAAGCUCCAGAGAAGCAGAGGCGUCGCGUCCUGGACGGUUGGAGUUGGGCGAACUUUUUUUUUCAGGGGUUGGAGUUGGACGACUUUUUUUUUUUGAGAAUUGGAGUUGGACGACUGGACGAGGCGACGAAUCAAUCCCGAACGCAGAAGCCAGGCCCCACGCAGCAUUCCUAGGCCCAAGAAUCCACUAGACAGCCCAAUAGCCAAUGGGCGAAGAUUGCGGCUUCAACCCGAGUUACCUUUUCUUUCCUUAAUUCACCCAAACAGCAGACCUGUCGCCCUACCGAGAGCUCCGCACAUGUGUUUGAUGCAGAAAUCGAUGAAGUGUACAGUACUAGGGUCAAGAUUUGCACACUAAUAAUUAAGUUCAACCAGGUAGGGUCAUAAAUAAAGAUAAAAUGCAACAGAAGUGCUGCUUCAGACCAUCACCAAAUUUAUUUAUUUAUAAAGAAAAGACAAUCGAUUGUCAUUUGAUUAUUAGAAGGAAGAGUUCAUAUUUACAAGACAACUAAAAACAGAAAAAGGCUCACGGAGGCAACAAGUGUUGACCCCGCGGGUCACCCGCUCUCCCAUCUUCGGGGUCGAUGGAGCUCGCAAGACCCCUAAGGAGGAUCUCCUCAAAAAUCAAACGGACAACCUGCAAAGCCGGCAGGCCCACCUUCCUGAAGGUGCGCCUAUUGCGCUCUUUUCACAUGCCCCACAUGGAGUAGACAAGAAUGUCACUAAUCCGCUUCUUCUCUGACUUUGAACGGCCAAGGAUGAUAGCAUCCAAAAAGCAUUAACGGAGUCGACCGUGGUGGUUGCCAUGGGGAUCGUGAU
rnacentral:lncRNA from 1 species